rnacentral:rRNA from 1 species
AUGUUCAUGAAGCGCCAGACGACAAUACUGUUGCUGCACCGUCAACUGCUCCUACUAACUCUGAUAUGCAUCCGUACAUUGGGGAGUGAUGAGUCGAUAUCUGCCAGGACAGCUGAAAUAUUGCCAACUCUUCUGGCAAUGAAGGAUGCUGCUGUGAGCCAUGCCACCCCAUCAGCAAGCGUUGAAGUGGAUGCUCCCAACCUAAGCAAGGAAGAUUCCUGCUCAUCUGACACUGAUUCCAAGCGCGUGCGUGGUGGCACUCCUGUGUCCACGACAGAAGCGGCUGAGGCGGCAGUUCACAAUGAUAUGCCAUCUACAGGUGCGAGUCUUGGCCCAACAGCUCCAGCUCCUGUCGGUGCAGAUACUGCUAAGGCAACUGUUUCGCGUGCUGGUCUUCCACCUAGGUGUCGUAGCCCCCACAAGCAAUCAACAGACAUACCCAACGCAUCGGUUGUAGCUAGGAGCAGCAGAGACGAGUCUGGUUAUGUUCCUGCGUCCACACUGUUCCCGCCACCUGCCAAAAGCAAUGUGAUGGAGAAACCGGAAGACCGGGGCACAACUGAUGCAGGUGUCAAGCCGGGCACGAGUGAGGCAGGUGAAUGUCCAGAGCAGACUGCGCCUUUACCCGUAGUGGAAAUCCCCAGCUUAAAUCUGCGCACUUCCAGGCUCCCAGUCAAUGUGGGUGUCCCAUACAGCCCAAACAAGAAGAUUGUCAAGAAAGCUGCGGCUGGUACCGCUGACAACACGCCCCGCCCUACAAAUAAGCCCGAUCAUUCUGUAGCGGCCGAUUCAGAUAUGUUUGUUGAUCUUUCACCCUUGGAUUCUGCCCCGCAAGUUGUUCGUGGUCCGGCCAGUAGGCAUGAGAGGCACCCAAUGGCCUUCACCCCACCGAGCUUCAGUCUUGGCAUCAGUCAAGAUGAACUAGUGGUGCCAGAUCCUAUGCCAGUUGCCUUUGCUUUCCCCGGAGGCAUGCCCGCAAUGAUGGCGCAGCCAAUGGUCGAGGGCAGGAAGGCUGUCAAGUUCGCAGAGCCGAUAGUCCAAGUGUAG